CAAUUGCUGUAUCGCUUGCUGUGUGCAGUGAACAUCGAAAAUAAUACAGAUGUAAUUUAGAAUACGGCAGCACUUCCUUGUUCUUUUACGAGAAUUAUCAUUCUGUUGAUUUGUCCUCAUACUGGCGAUUCACAAGAAGAAUUUCUGCCAUGCGACGACAUAGUCGAGGGCCUCGAGGCUGUUGUUUACCGUAGCAACUAAAAGCAAGUGGCAUGAUUGCUAGCAUCAGUCGAAGAAUUGACGUGUAGAAAGACAUUGUUGCGCAGGAGAAAGAACUUGUAAACGCUUUAUAGAGUCAAUUAGAUUGUUGCUUUCGUUCUGUUCUGAAAUGGUCUUAGUGAAAACUAUUAUGGCUUUCACAAAGUUUCUUUGAACAAAUGAGUGCUUGAUACUAAAAGCCCUGAGCAAAGUAAGCAAUGUUUUAUUGUAUUAUUUAUGUGAUGACAGGAGGCCUCAUUGUUUAUACAAUAUAUGGAAGCUCCAUUAUUUCAGAUUUUUGCUAGCAGUUUCGUAAUUGGUAAUUUACUGUCGGUUUUUAACAUCCUCGGUUUUACAUUUUCCUUCUACCACUGAAAUGUUAGGCUGUCAGGAUGUAUUGGAUGACACAUGCAAAGCAAUAUUAAAAAUUUCAAUA